rnacentral:rRNA from 1 species
GACGAACGCUGGCGGCGUGCCUAACACAUGCAAGUCGAACGGGGAGUUAUUUAUAACUCCUAGUGGCGAACGGGUGAGUAACGCGUAGACAAUCUGCCUCUAAAUUGGGGACAACACCGCGAACGUGGUGCUAAUACCGAAUGUGGUAACUUGGUCGCAUGACUACGUUGAGAAAGACGGCUUCUAUCUGCAAGCUAUCGAUUAGAGAUGGGUCUGCGUCUGAUUAGCUAGUUGGUGAGUGAAUGGCUCACCAAGGCGACGAUCAGUAGCCGGUCUGAGAGGAUGAACGGGCACACUGGGACUGAGACACGGCCCAGACUCCUACGGGAGGCAGCAGUGGGGAAUCUUCCGCAAUGGACGAAAGUCUGACGGAGCAACGCCGCGUGAGUGAAGAAGGUCUUCGGAUUGUAAAGCUCUGUCGUUUGGGACGAACGUGGAUUGUGUGAAUAAUGCAGUCUAAUGACGGUACCAAAGGAGGAAGCCACGGCUAACUACGUGCCAGCCGCCGCAGUAA